AUUGAACGCUGGCGGCAGGCCUAACACAUGCAAGUCGAACGAGUGGCGGACGGGUGAGUAAUGUCUGGGACACUGCCUGAUGGCGGGGGAUAACUACUGGAAACGGUAGCUAAUACCGCAUACCUUCGGAUGAGCCCAGAUGGGAUUCGCUAGUAGGUGGGGUAAAGGCUAACCUAGGCAACGAUCCCUAGCUGGUCUGAGAGGAUGAUCGGCCACACUGGAACUGAGACACGGUCCAGACUCCUACGGGAGGCAGCAGUGGGGAAUAUUGCACAAUGGGCGAAAGCCUGAUGCAGCCAUGCCGCGUGUAUGAAGAAGGCCUUCGGGUUGUAAAGUACUGUCAGCGGGGAGGCGUUACCCGCAGAGGAAGCACCGGCUAACUCCGUGCCAGCAGCCGCGGUAAUAC
rnacentral:rRNA from 1 species